AUAUUGGCUAAAGGGAAGGGCAGGCCAUAUGGCAGGACAUAGGAACAAUAUGUAUGGGCCAGAGAGCACAAUGUAUUUAUCUGGAAAGCAACAAAAGGAUAAGGUUUACUAACAGGUAGGUUUAGAAUCCAGAAGACUUUGAGCAUGAGGCACAGGAACAUGGCCUUGGGGACCCAGUGAAGAACAAAGAAGAAAAAAUUUCUUUUAAAGAAAGGCCAAAGAAUUAUUAUAGAUCUUUUCUUUCGACAUUCCUAAACAAGAACAGGCCUAGAUGGUGUCAUUUUCAAUUCUUGUCCUAACUGGGCCACCGGGGAGGAAAGGAAGAAAGCAGCACAGAGCCAAGUUUGAAGUCCUGGAAGAGAAUCUCCUGAGACAUUGGCUGAGGAACACAGAAAGUUACUUGUGGCAGAAUCUUUCUGGAAUUUUUCCAUUCUGGGAUACUCUGAGCCCAUUUUGUCACAGGUCAUCAUGACUUGAUGAAUGAAUAUCAUAUUGGUUAAUUCCUGCGGCUUAAUAAAAUCCUUUGUUCAAGAACAGCAUGAAAUUUUCAGAGUGUAUCGACUCCUUGUUAGCUAUGAUUGAGACUAAGAGUGCCU
rnacentral:lncRNA from 1 species